UACGAAGGUCCCAAGCGUUGUUCGGAAUUACUGGGCGUAAAGGGCGCGUAGGCGGCUCGCUAAGUCGGAUGUGAAAACUCUGGGCUCAACCCAGAGCCUGCAUUCGAAACUGGGGAGCUCGAGUUCUGGAGGGGAAAGCGGAAUUCCUGGUGUAGCGGUGAAAUGCGUAGAUAUCAGGAGGAACACCGGUGGCGAAGGCGGCUUUCUGGACAGAAACUGACGCUGAUGCGCGAAAGCUAGGGGAGCAAACAGG
rnacentral:rRNA from 1 species